UGACCCGGAAGGGAGCUCUGAAGAGGCGGGGCCAGGACGGCGGGACCGGCCGCUGGGUCUCAGCGAGGGCUGAGCCGGGCGGUGGGAGGAGGUCAGGAUGGUCGGGGAACGGCAUGCUGGGGACCUCAUGGUGCCUUUAGGGCCUCAGCUGCAGGCAUAUCCUGAAGAACUCAUUCGACAGAGGCCUGGGCAUGAUGGGCAUCCUGAAUACCUGAUCCGAUGGAGUGUCCUGAAGUGUGGGGAAGUGGGCAAAGUGGGUGUGGAAGAAGGCAAAGCAGAGCACAUCCUCAUGUGGCUGUCAGCUCCUGAGGUCUACGCCAACUGCCCUGGGCUGUUAGGUGAGCGGGCACUAUCUAAGGGACCUCAGCACGAACCAGCUGGGGUUUCAGGAAGCUUUCCUCGAGAUCCAGGAGGCCUGGAUGAAGUGGCAAUGGGAGAGAUGGAGGCUGAUGUGCAGGCGCUGGUACGCAGGGCAGCCAGGCAGCUGGCAGAAAGUGGGACCCCAAGCCUCACGGCUGCUGUGCUCCACACCAUCCACGUGCUCAGUGCCUACGCCAGCAUCGGGCCCCUUACUGGUGUCUUCAGGGAGACAGGAGCCCUGGACCUGCUCAUGCACAUGUUGUGCAAUCCUGAGCCUCAGAUCCGCCGGAGUGCAGGCAAAAUGCUGCAGGCUCUGGCAGCCCACGAUGCUGGGAGUCGGGCUCACGUCCUUCUGUCACUGAGCCAGCAAGAUGGCAUCGAGCAGCACAUGGAUUUUGACAGUCGCUAUACAUUGCUGGAGCUGUUUGCAGAAACCACAUCCUCUGAAGAACACUGCAUGGCCUUUGAGGGCAUUCAUCUGCCUCAGAUCCCAGGAAAGCUGCUCUUCUCCUUGGUGAAGCGCUACCUUUGUGUCACCUCCCUCCUGGAUCAGCUGAAUAACAGUCCAGAGCUGGGAGCUGGAGACCAAAGCUCCCCAUGUGCCACAAGAGAGAAAAGCCGGGGACAGCGGGAGCUGGAGUUCAGCAUGGCUGUGGGCAACCUCAUCUCUGAGCUUGUGCGGAGCAUGGGCUGGGCCCGGAACCUCAGUGAACAGGGCAUGUCACCUCCCCGGCCAACCCGGUCCAUCUUUCAGCCCUACAUUUCAGGCCCCAGCCUUUUGCUCCCCACCAUUGUCACCACCCCCAGAAGACAAGGGUGGGUCUUCCGCCAGCGCUCUGAAUUCUCCAGCCGUAGUGGCUAUGGAGAAUAUGUGCAGCAGACGCUGCAGCCGGGGAUGCGAGUGCGGAUGCUGGAUGAUUAUGAGGAGAUCAGUGCUGGGGAUGAGGGCGAGUUCCGGCAGAGCAACAACGGCAUUCCCCCUGUGCAGGUUUUCUGGCAGUCGACAGGCCGCACUUACUGGGUGCACUGGCACAUGCUGGAGAUCCUGGGCCCUGAGGAAGCCACUGAGGAUAAGGCUUCAGCAGCUGUGGAGAAGGGGGCAGGGGCUACUGUGUUGGGCACAGCAUUUCCCUCCUGGGACUGGAAUCCUAUGGAUGGGCUCUACCCUUUGCCGUACCUCCAGCCCGAACCUCAGAAGAAUGAGAGAGUGGGAUAUCUGACCCAGGCUGAAUGGUGGGAGCUGCUUUUCUUUAUCAAAAAGUUGGACUUGUGUGAGCAGCAGCCAAUUUUCCAGAAUCUUUGGAAGAACGUGGAUGAGACCCUGGGUGAAAAGGCCCUAGGUGAGAUCUCUGUGUCCGUGGAGAUGGCCGAGAGUCUGCUGCAGGUUCUCAGUAGUCGAUUUGAGGGCAGCACUCUCAAUGACCUGCUCAACUCCCAGAUCUACACCAAGUAUGGGCUGCUGUCUGAUGAACCAAGCAGCUCGUCUACUUCACAGAAUCACUCCUGUACCCCAGAUCCAGAAGAGGAGUCCAAGUCGGAGGCCAACUUCUCAGAGGAAGAGACUGAGUCCCCCAAAGCAAAGACCGAGGCCCCUAAGACAGAGGCCGAGCCCACCAAGACAAGGACUGAGCCCCCCAUGGCACAGAGUGAUUCGCAGCUGUUUAACCAGCUUCUGGUGACUGAGGGGAUGACCCUGCCCACUGAGAUGAAGGAGUCAGCCAGUGAAAUGGCCAGAGCCUUGCGGGGUCCCGGUCCUCGCAGCUCCCUGGAUCAACAUGUGGCAGCGGUCGUGGCCACUGUGCAGAUAUCCACCUUGGACACAAACCUGCAGCUUUCAGGGCUCUGUGCCCUCUCUCAGGCUGUGGAGGAGGUCACUGAGCGGGACCACCCUCUGGUCCGUCCUGACAGAUCACUGAGAGAGAAGCUAGUGAAGAUGCUGGUGGAGCUGCUGACCAACCAGGUGGGAGAGAAGAUGGUGGUGGUGCAGGCCCUGCGCCUCCUUUACCUGCUCAUGACCAAGCACGAGUGGCGGCCGCUCUUUGCCAGGGAGGGUGGCAUCUAUGCUGUACUGGUCUGCAUGCAAGAAUAUAAGACUUCUGUCUUGGUGCAGCAGGCUGGGCUGGCGGCACUGAAGAUGCUGGCCAUCGCCAGCUCCUCGGAGAUCCCCACUUUUGUUACUGGCCGAGAUUCUAUCCACUCUUUGUUUGAUGCUCAGAUGACCAGAGAGAUCUUCGCCAGCAUUGACUCUGCUACACGCCCGGGCUCUGAGAGCCUGCUCCUCACUGUCCCUGCAGCCGUGAUCCUGAUGCUGAACACUGAGGGGUGCUCUUCUGCAGCGAGAAAUGGCUUGCUCCUGCUCAACCUGCUUUUGUGCAACCACCACACUCUGGGAGACCAGAUUAUAACCAGAGAGCUAAGAGACACGUUGUUUAGGCACUCAGGGAUAGCACCGGGGACAGAACCUAUGCCUACCACACGCACCAUCCUCAUGAUGCUUCUCAAUCGCUACUCAGAGCCGCCGGGCAGCCCUGAGCAUGCAGCUCUAGAGACCCCCAUCAUCCAGGGUCAGGAUGGGUCCCCUGAGCUACUGAUUCGAUCCCUGGUUGGGGGCCCAUCUGCAGAACUACUCCUGGACUUGGAGCGUGUGCUGUGCCGUGAGGGCAGCCCCGGGGGUGCCGUGAGGCCCCUCCUCAAGCGCCUCCAGCAGGAGACCCAGCCUUUCCUCCUGUUGCUGCGGACUCUGGAUGCUCCGGGGCCCAACAAGACUCUGCUGCUGUCUGUGCUGAGGGUCAUAACCCGACUGCUGGAUUUCCCUGAGGCAAUGGUCCUCCCUUGGCACGAGGUCUUGGAACCCUGCCUCAACUGCCUGAGUGGCCCUAGCAGUGACUUUGAGAUUGUUCAGGAGCUGACCUGCUUCCUACAUCGCCUGGCCUUGAUGCAUAAGGACUAUGCUGUGGUGCUCUGCUGCCUGGGAGCAAAAGAGGUCCUCUCCAAAGUCCUGGACAAGCACUCAGCUCAGCUGCUGCUGGGCUGUGAGCUUCGGGACCUGGUGACAGAGUGUGAGAAGUACGCACAGCUCUAUAGCAACCUCACCUCUAGCAUCCUGGCUGGCUGCAUUCAGAUGGUGCUGGGCCAGAUCGAAGACCACAGACGAACCCACCAACCCAUCAAUAUCCCCUUCUUUGAUGUGUUCCUCAGGCAUCUCUGCCAGGGCUCCAGUGUGGAAGUGAAGGAGGACAAGUGCUGGGAGAAGGUGGAGGUGUCCUCCAACCCGCACCGGGCCAGCAAGCUGAUGGACCACAACCCCAAGACCUACUGGGAGUCCAACGGCAGCACCGGCUCCCACUACAUCACCCUGCACAUGCACCGUGGUGUUCUUGUUAGGCAGCUCACUUUGUUGGUGGCCAGUGAGGACUCAAGCUACAUGCCAGCCAGGGUGGUGGUGUUUGGGGGUGACAGCACCAGCUGCAUCAGCACUGAGCUCAACACGGUGAAUGUGAUGCCCUCUGCCAGCCGGGUGAUCCUCCUGGAGAAUCUGAACCGCUUCUGGCCUAUCAUCCAGAUCCGCAUAAAGCGCUGCCAGCAGGGCGGCAUUGACACCCGGGUUCGGGGUGUGGAGGUCCUGGGCCCUAAGCCCACAUUCUGGCCACUGUUCCGGGAGCAGCUGUGUCGCCGAACAUGUCUCUUCUACACAAUUCGGGCACAAGCCUGGAGCCGGGACAUAGCAGAGGACCGCCGGCGCCUCCUCCAGCUCUGUCCCAGACUGAACAGGGUUUUACGCCAUGAGCAGAAUUUUGCUGACCGCUUCCUCCCUGAUGAUGAGGCCGCCCAAGCAUUGGGCAAGACCUGCUGGGAGGCCCUGGUCAGCCCCCUGGUGCAGAACAUCACCUCUCCCGAUGCGGAAGGUGUGAGUGCCCUGGGAUGGCUGCUGGAUCAGUACUUAGAACAGAGAGAGAGCUCUCAGAACCCCCUGAGUCGAACAGCGUCCUUUGCUUCUCGAAUUCGUCGCCUUUGCCACUUGCUGGUGCAUGUGGAGCCUCCUCCUGGGCCUUCUCCUGAGCCAUCCACUCGGCCCUUCAGCAAGAACAGUAAGGGUCGGGACCGGAACCCGGCGCCUUUGCCAGUGCUUCCAAGCAGCAGCCUGAGGAACAUAACCCAAUGCUGGCUGAGCGUGGUGCAGGAGCAGGUUGGCAGAUUCCUGGCUGCAGCUUGGGGGUCCCCAGACUUUGUGCCUCGUUACUGUAAACUCUAUGAGCACUUGCAGAGAGCAGGCUCCGAGCUGUUUGGGCCUCGGGCAGCCUUCACGCUGGCUCUGCGCAGUGGCUUCUCUGGCGCCUUGCUGCAGCAGUCCUUCCUUACUGCUGCUCACGUGAGUCCCACCAGCUCCCCACAGGGCUAUAAGCUCAUGUUCCAAGUUCAUUGCUUUCUGCUCUGCCCUUUCACCUCCUUUCGCUCCCCAGUCUCCUCCACUCCCUCGUUCAUGGUUUGCCCAUGCCCUUUCCACUGCCCCCAGAUGAGUGAGCAGUUUGCCAGGUACAUUGACCAGCAGAUCCAGGGUGGCCUGAUUGGUGGAGCCCCUGGAGUGGAAAUGCUGGGGCAGCUUCAGCGGCACUUGGAACCCAUUAUGGUCCUUUCUGGUCUGGAACUGGCCACAACUUUUGAGCACUUCUAUCAGCAUUACAUGGCGGACCGUCUCCUGAGCUUUGGCUCGAGCUGGCUGGAGGGGGCCGUGCUGGAGGAGAUUGGCCUCUGUUUUCCCAACCGCCUCCCCCAGCUGAUGCUGCAGAGCCUGAGUACCUCUGAGGAGCUGCAGCGCCAGUUCCACCUCUUCCAGCUCCAGCGGCUCGACAAGUUGUUCUUGGAGCAGGAAGACGAGGAGGAAAAGAGACUAGAGGAAGAGGAGGAGGAAGAGGAGGAGGAGGAAGCUGAGAAAGAAUUAUUUAUUGAAGAUCCAAGUCCAGCCAUUUCUAUACUGGUCCUGUCACCACGCUGCUGGCCGGUCUCCCCACUCUGCUACCUGUACCAUCCCAGAAAGUGCCUUCCCACAGAAUUCUGUGAUGCCCUUGACCGUUUCUCCAGUUUCUACAGCCAGAGUCAGAACCAUCCAAUCCUGGACAUGGGACCACAUCGGCGACUGCAGUGGACGUGGCUGGGCCGGGCUGAGCUGCAGUUUGGGAACCAGACACUGCAUGUGUCCACCGUGCAGAUGUGGCUGCUACUGAAUUUCAAUCAUACAGAGGAGGUGUCAGUAGAGACCUUGCUGAAGGAUUCUGCCCUCUCCCCAGAGCUGCUGCUCCAGGCACUCGUGCCCCUCACCUCGGGGAAUGGCCCUUUGACCCUGCAUGAGGGCCAGGACUUUCCACACAGGGGUGUGCUGCGGCUUCAUGAGCCUGGGCCCCAGUGCAGUGGGGAGGCCCUGUGGCUGAUACCUCCCCAGGCGUACCUGAACGUAGAGAAGGAUGAGGGCCGAACCCUGGAACAGAAGAGGAAUCUCUUGAGCUGUCUUCUUGUUCGUAUUCUCAAAGCCCAUGGGGAAAAGGGCCUCCACAUUGAUCAGCUGGUUUGUCUGGUGCUGGAGGCCUGGCAGAAGGGUCCAAAUCCUCCUGGAACCCUGGGCCACACUGUUGCUGGGGGCGUGGCCUGUACCAGUACAGAUGUCCUCUCUUGCAUCCUGCACCUCUUAGGCCAGGGCUAUGUGAAACGGCGUGAUGACCGGCCCCAGAUCCUGAUGUAUGCUGCUCCAGAGCCCAUGGGGCCCUGCCGGGGUCAGGCAGAUGUCCCUUUCUGUGGCAGCCAGAGCAAAACCUCCAAGCCUAGCCCAGAAGCUGUGGCUACCCUGGCAUCUCUACAGUUGCCUGCAGGCCGCACCAUGAGCCCCCAGGAAGUAGAAGGGUUGAUGAAGCAGACGGUGUGUCAGGUGCAGGAGACUCUGAACUUAGAGCCAGAUGUCGCUCAGCACCUUUUGGCUCAUUCCCACUGGGGUGCCGAACAGCUGCUGCAGAGCUACAGUGAGGACCCUGAGCCACUGCUGCUGGCAGCUGGGCUGUGCGUACCCCAAGUCCAGGCUGUACCCACACGGCCUGACCACUGCCCUGUCUGCGUGAGCCCUCUGGGGUGUGACGACUACUUGCCCUCUCUCUGCUGCAUGCACUAUUGCUGUAAGUCUUGCUGGAAUGAGUACCUGACAACUCGGAUCGAGCAGAACCUUGUUUUGAAUUGCACCUGCCCCAUUGCCGACUGCCCCGCCCAGCCCACCGGAGCCUUCAUUCGUGCCAUCGUCUCCUCGCCAGAGGUCAUCUCCAAGUAUGAGAAGGCGCUCCUGCGUAGCUAUGUGGAGAGCUGCUCCAACCUGACCUGGUGCACCAAUCCCCAGGGCUGCGACCGCAUCCUGUGCCGCCAGGGCCUGGGCUGUGGGACCACCUGCUCCAAGUGUGGCUGGGCCUCUUGCUUCAACUGUAGCUUCCCUGAGGCACACUACCCUGCUAGCUGUGGCCACAUGUCUCAGUGGGUUGAUGAUGGCGGCUACUAUGACGGCAUGAGCAUGGAGGCACAGAGCAAGCACCUGGCCAAGCUCAUCUCCAAGCGCUGUCCCAGCUGUCAGGCUCCCAUCGAGAAGAACGAGGGGUGCCUGCACAUGACCUGUGCCAGAUGUAACCAUGGAUUCUGCUGGCGCUGCCUCAAGUCCUGGAAGCCAAAUCACAAAGACUAUUACAACUGCUCUGCCAUGGUAAGCAAGGCAGCUCGCCAGGAGAAGCGGUUUCAGGACUAUAACGAGAGGUGCACUUUCCAUCACCAGGCGCGGGAAUUUGCUGUGAACUUGCGGAACCGGGUGUCUGCCAUCCAUGAAGUGCCCCCGCCCAGAUCCUUUACCUUCCUCAAUGAUGCCUGCCAGGGACUGGAGCAGGCUCGGAAGGUGCUGGCCUAUGCCUGCGUGUACAGCUUCUACAGCCAGGACGCAGAGUACAUGGACGUGGUGGAGCAGCAGACGGAGAACCUGGAGUUGCACACCAAUGCCCUGCAGAUCCUCCUCGAUGUUCCAUAGGUGUUUGUUGGAGGAAAGAAUGGAUGAGAAUGAGAAGGGAGGGAGCCUCUGUGCCUGCCCCCUCUGCAGAGGAGACCCUGCUGCGGUGCAGAGACCUGGCCUCCUCUCUGCGACUCCUGCGGGCUGACUGCCUCAGCACGGGCAUGGAGCUGCUCCGACGGAUCCAGGAGAGGCUGCUUGCCAUCCUGCAGCAUUCCGCCCAGGAUUUCCGGGUUGGUCUUCAGAGUCCAUCAGCAGAGGCCUGGGAGACAAAAGGACCCAAUGUGCCCGGCAGUCAGCCCCAGGCCUCCUCAGGGCCAGAGGCGGAAGAAGAGGAGGAAGACGAUGAGGAUGAUGUGCCCGAGUGGCAGCAGGAUGAGUUUGAUGAGGAGCUGGACAAUGACAGCUUCUCCUACGAUGAGUCUGAGAACCUGGAUCAAGAGACUUUCUUCUUUGGUGAUGAGGAAGAGGAUGAAGAUGAGGCCUAUGACUGAGGGGCAAAUGCAGGAAACACCUAGAGCCGCCCCAGAGUCACGGGGCUGUGGGGGCGGGAGCUGCCCGUUUGUCAUGGGGAGGGAUUCCCAGUGUCUGCAGUGCCUCUUUCUGUUUAUUGAAUAAAGGCCUCUUUCUCACACA